CCCGCGCCGCCCCCCCGCGCCGCCGCGCGCGCGCAGGCCGUUGGGCGCGCUCAGACGCGCGGAGGCUGCCAGGCCGCGGGGCAGCGCCAAAGUAUGCCGUGGGGCAACGCCAAAGUAUGCAAAGGAAAAAUGCUAUUAGCUCAUCAGCGCUGGAGAGGCUGGAAACGGGGCGGUGGGGAGGGGGGCGUUCGCAAGGAAGGAAACAUGUUUCUGGAAAAAUGUGCUGGCCUGCACAUCUCACAGCCUGGAGCGCCUGCCGGGGACCUUCGUUUAGCGUCGAGUAACAGUCAGUCUCCCUUAAUGACCUUUUAAUUAGGAGAAAACCUUCAUCAAAUAAACUCUUGACUAUUGACUUUUGGUUUUCUGUGUAUGAGUCACACGAGAAAUACACUACCAGCGCUCCUCUCAGAGUAGGUUUUCAUUGAAAAAUGAAAUUUCGCAUGGGAGAGACUUAGCCCUCACUAGAACAAAUAAACUUGGCUGGGAGAGCGUCUCCCCAAAACUAUGCUUGGAGCAGAGUGGCAGGUUGUGAUCUGAAAUGUGGCUCUCUUCCUUCCUGCUAUUACAAGAGUUCAUAAAUGCUCUGUUUUGAUAAGUCUGAUCACCCAGCGAGGCAAACAAAUUAAGAUCCAUGGAUUUCAGCCAGAAAUCCUUAUGGGUGUAUUUUUCCAAGGGCUGUUUGCUUAUGAAUCCUUGCAAAGGAAUGGAGGAGAAUACAAAAGUACUGCUUCACCACAAGUUUGACGACAGCGAGGAUUUUUCAUAUGCAACCCUGUGAAACCUUACCGUUGUAGGCUGGAAAUUUUUAUCCUACUCAGUGUGUUCAAAGCACCUUCCUGAUGCAGCCAGGUUUCAGAGGUCAGGUUAACAGUCCAAGUGAUACUGGCUCUGCAGAUAUCUGCCCUUGCAGUCUAGUGAUCUUGAUAUAGUUCUCUUGAAAAAAAGUUAUUGCAGUUUAGUUAUGUAUUACUCGAAAUGGAAUACACUUAGUAAUCAAAAUCCUGCAAAACGCAGUCCUGCAGCAAAGGAUUGUGAUGCUGAUUUAAACUGCUAUCUGAUUAGCAGUAGUAGUAGUACUUCAUUUUAAAGUCGCUCUUUGUAGCCUCUGAAAUCGGUGGUCCUGUCUUGGGUCUUAAAGUUACCACGUGGACAAGUGGGUUAGAAGCUAAGACUGGGGGCUGGGGUAGGCUGCUCCCAGAGCCACACUCUGCUUACUCUGCUGUGCAUCUCAGGAGAGCUGUACUGCAGACAAGUGUGCAGCCUAGUGGACUUACUUAAGCACUGUUCACAUCCUUGCAGUCAUCCAGAUGAUCUAACGGUUAACAUCGCUGGGAAAUCAAUGGUUUCCCUAAACAUUCCCGAGCUGGAGAACACUCUGAGAAGCAUGGGAAGGUAUGCACCCAAGAAAGUGUAGUCUUCUUACUUGGAAUACUCCAGCUGGCUGAUAUGCACGUCCGUUAUCACUGCUAGCGAGCACUGGGCUGGCAGGGAGCAUCUGCUGGACUGGGCCCCCAAAGGGAACAAGUUUUGCCUGGAACAAUCAGUGACUAAGACUGAGGAAAAUGGAAAGCUUGAAAAUAAGGAAAAUACAACACUGAAGAAACAAGUCAACAGAAUCAAGCAGAUACUAAUUGAAGACUGGUCUUUAGGAGUAAGCACAGAAACUGUCUUGUGCUACUGGACUGACAAAAACACUGAUGUGUGUCAACAAACAGCAAAGAGAACCUCUUACUCUCCAGCAUCAUUUCCUAGACCAGGAAGUUUGGAUAUCCAAGCACGUAAAGACAAUCUGACCCUUUCCUCUCAUGGGGUCAUCAAGCAUGUUUGGAUGAAUCUGUGCUCCUGGCUGAGCUGUGGUUAUCACAUACGAACAUUUUCUCUGAACUGCUCAUCUGUUUUUGGGCAUAAGCUUUGGCACUUAAGCAGAGAAAUGGAGGGAUCUUUUACAUACAAAUUGAUUGAGCACAUAAACUUCCCUGCCAAAAAAGAAAUCAUGUAAGGCGUUUCAGAUACUUCUAAGAAAAGCAGAUGGCGGUGGCAGUGCUUUUAAUCAUUAGCAAAGUGUCCAGAGCACUCGGUGAUAUGGAGGAUGCAGAUUUGAUGCCUCUGUCAGGUUAUGGGAGCCAUGGUUUGAACACUGAAGGAAAUGGGUUCCCUGCUCACUGGGCUAGAACAUAUUGAAAUAGAUGUGCUCGCAACCCCUCAGUCCGACACUGUUUUGCUGCAGAAGCCUGUUGUCCUAAUCACCAGGUUAGAAAGUCCUUCUGUCUCAGUAGCAGUUACUAUAUUUUGAGCAAAGUGGAUGAGUGUGAAUAGACAGAGGUCCUUCCUUAGAACGUGGUCUGUCCUAGUGGUUAAAACAUUGUUGUGACAAGUAGGUAACAUUGGUUCAACCGCCUGCCAUGUGUCACGCUGAAAAGAUUUUACUUGGGAUUUCUCAUCUCUUAGUCUGACCUUCAAAAACGUCAUUUCUCCAGACCAAAGGAACCUCUACACUGGCAUAAGAUAGCUCUUAAGAGCAGUACACCAGCCAAAAAUAAUUACAGUCAAUUCUCCAUUAUCUGAGGGAAGGAAAGAAAUAUUUUCCCAAUAGUAGAAAAACACAGAUGAUGCAGGUACUGGGAGCAGUCACGGAACCAGUUCUCAUAAGCCUGGCCAGACCUAGGAGUCUCUCUGCACUGCACACUCCUGAUGCUGCAAACUAGAGGAGGACUUACUCAUUCAGACACAGCGCCCAACCCGAACUGGCUCUCUGAGUGCACCACAUUGCAAUAGAGCUAGUAAGCUUUCUGGGAAUCUGGAGCACUCUGCAGCAUAGUAGCAGCCAGGUCAUAUUUGAUAUGGCACAAACACAAGUGCAUAAAAUCUGCUGGUCUCCUGCUGACAAAGAAGAGCCCCUUGAAUGUGUCUUCAGGGGGUUUCACAGUACUGGUUCAGAGAGCAUGGUGUGGAGACAACAGGUCUGGCUCUCCACUGAGCUAAUCCCAGUCCAAGCCUAGGCUAUAUUCUGUGUAAAAGCUGCUGUGCUACAGCUGAAUUCUGCCCCAAGAUAAUAACUCAAGGAGCCUGGAUAGCUUCUUGCAGAGCCAGUUGUACUCUCUCUUCUUCUGUAGCAUGGUUAAUCAGCUGUAGAGAUCUGCUACUCACAGAUAGUUAAGUGAGAAAAUGUAUGGAAAAUGUGUUAUAAUCGUGCCACUUGGUUUUCUGAUGCUUGCUGGCUUGCCACCCGCAUAGUGGAUAUGGGAGUCAAACAGCACUGUAUUGUCCAUGGAACUUUGUCAUUAUUCUCUUUUCACCUUUUACCACCUCCUCAAGCAUCUUGCAGGCAAAACUGCAAGAGUCCAUCACUGCCAAUCCAUGCUCAAAGAGAAGUAGCAGAGAGAAUGAUGGGAGAAGGUAAGAAAAAACAGACAUAAAAAGAAAAUAAAAGCAAUCUAGCAUUGACUGUAUACUCAGAUGCCAAAUUUGUACACUGCCUUUAGCAAGGAACAGCAAUUUAUUAAUAGAUUUGUUACUUUUGAUGAUGGUAUUGUACUUAAAAGUAUAAAAGAUUACAGUCUAAUACAAACAUCAGCCCCAUUCUCACCUCUAUGAAUGUUUAAGUUGAAAGUUAAAACGAAUUGUGUUUUUACAGUUGUCAGCUACCUAUUACAAGGUUGUUGUUAAUGUUAUGUUCUUUAUAAUGCAACCAACUUCAAAGUGAAGUAAUAGUAAUGGUUACAAUGAAUUUCUUUAGUAACACAAUAAAACAAGACAAAUAAAUGCAGUAUUUGCCGUGAAAAAGGAAACAAACUAGGAAGGUAUGAUUUGCAAGCUUUCUAGCUGGGUUUCCAAAAUAUAUAGAAUAAAAGCUUUGUAAGGUACUUGACCAUGUGAUGUUCUUUAAAAGUAAUCUCACAUGUUCUAUUUAAUCUGUAUUGACAGCGUUGUUCAUCCAAAUCACAGCGCACAGUGAACAGCUAAAGUGGAAUGGCUGAGCAAACAACUUAUAUUCCUGGUUCUGAGAAAACAAUAGAAUUGAGCAUAGGCAGGCAGGAUGACAACCAGGAGAUGGCUCCAGAAAUGACUCCCAUGUUAUGUCUUCAACUCCUUUGCUUUUCUAGCUCCAGCAGCAGCAGCAGAAAGUGAGUAUAAAGUCAUGAGAAGGAUGGAAAAUCCUAGAGAAGCUGUGGGCCUUAGUGAUAUCUAAUAGGGCUGAGAGAAAUCUAGAAGAUGAUUGUGGGGUUGCCAAGGAAUGAACCUUUGAUACCCUGAAAAGAAAGAAGCUGAGAAGCUCAAAAAGUGAUAAGUGGGUCAGAUUCCACAGAGAAAGUUGUUAUCAUGUCAGAUAACCAUGCCAUAAAAAGGAAUGGAGUGCAAACUGUGAGAGAAGAAGCUUAGGAGGAAGUAGCAGAAAUGCUGAAGAAGACCUGGAAGUGUUUUUUGUCACAGGAGCAUGAGUGAAUUGGGAGUUGAACAGGGUGUUUCCAGUUAAAAGUUACUGAGCGAUUUAGAACAGUAAAUGAAUAGGCAGUUAGAAGCAUAGUUUCCUUGACAAAGAUGGAUGGGUAGUGUGGUGUUUGGGAACAGUGAACAUAUGACUGAAGUAGAUGUGUGACUGAGCAGGGAGGAUGAAGUUAUUUAUGUUUUUAUGACAGAAUAUGACCAACAGGUAUGACUGCGCAAUGAAGACAGAGGUCAAAAAGCUGAAAACUGACAGGAGAGGGAAAGAAAAGGAAACUAAGGGAGGAAGAAAAGAAGUUGAAGAAGAAAGUUAGUACUGGAAGCUAGUUCCUUUUACAAGAUAGCAAUGUGCCAUAGGAGAAGAAAACAGCAUUAGAGAAGUCGAGUGUUACGAGGAUAUAAAGAGUUUAAAUGGAAAGUGGUGUAGAAAAACUAAGAGACAGAGGGAAGACUUAGAAGUGGAAGAGGAAAGAGAAGGAGAUCAAAAAAAAAAGGAGACAGUGAGUUAAGCUUUUAUUAAUGCAAGGGGACUGCUGGUCUUGCAAAGUGGCUGCAUCAUAAAUCUUACACUAUGAAACUCUGUGCGUCUCAGACAAAGGCUUUGAUUGGUCUCUUUCAGAAUGUGCUUCGACGUUCUCAGGAAAGGCCUUGGUGGAUGUUUCACAUGUUUGGCAUAUGUUUAUUCUGAUCCCUUGACAGACUACAUAUUGGGGACCUUCAAGCGUUUUCAGACCCAUCCACAGACUGAAGAAUCUCUGACUUUCUUCACUCCUUGGUUGAGUGCAGAGAGAUUUUAGAUCCCACAUCACAUUUAAAAUACACAGCUGUUGUUUGAGUGACAUCUUGGCUUAGUAUGGCUUAGUAUGGGAGAAAAACUGGUCAAAGUGCCUUUCUCAUCUUUUUUGGCUUUAAUAAAAUUCUGGAUCUUGCCUAAGUGUGAUUUUUAAGGAAGAAUUGAAAAUCUGUCCUUUUAGCUGACAUUAUUCCUGGCUCAUUUACUUUCCAAUGCAGUUAAUGGAUGGAAAAAGACUAAGUAUAGGGAACUUGUAGCUGUUCUACUUCAAAACCCAUUUUUGGGGAUGCUGUGAAAAAAUUGGAAAUGGUAGGCUGGUGGGGCAAAAUACCAAAAAUCUUUCAUUUGUAACUGCAAAUAGAGAGGGUAGAGGUUUAAAGACACUGAGGCUUAAAUCCCUGUGAGGGCCACUUAGGAGGAAUUACAUGACUCAUAGAUUUUAGAGCCAGGAGGGAUCAACAGAUCGUUAGUUUGACCUACUGUGUAACAUGGACUGUAGUAUUUCAUCCAGCUGGUUUUGCAGCAGGCCUAAAGCAUAUCUUUCCCAAUAUCAGGUGGACUUGAUUCGAAGACUGCAAGAGAUGAAGAAUUCAAUGUAUCAAUUAAUAGUUUGUCCUCUGGUAGUUUGUACCUUACUGUUUCAAAUCUGUUGCUUUUAUAUUUAACUCCAAUUUAUACAGCUUCAACCUCUAUCUUUUUUUUUUUCGUUAUGUCUUUUCUGCUGUAUUGGAGUCCUUUGUGACCUAUUAUUUUCUCCAUAUGAAGGAUGCUUAUGAUGUGAUGAGUAUGUGUAAGAUAUAAAGGAUGUGCAAAAAGAACAGGCUCUGUCGAGACAGUGUGGUAAUAUGAGUCAUUAGAAGGGCGAACAUCUGUUCUCAAGGAAAUUGCCUCAUUCUGAAGUAUACUACGUGUAGUUAGGCCCUCCUGCAGUGGAGCUGCAGUGAUGAUGAAUUUGAGGCAGUUUUGUCCCUAAGUUGACCUAUUAGUGUUCCAGUUUGCGUCUAUGUACUCAUACUAGGAGGCUAGGGCCACAGGGUCUUAGAGAGCUCCUUUGUAGUUUUCUUAAUUGAGUGGCAAUAAGAUAGCAGGGUUGAGUAGGCUGCCCUGGGGCCAAGGUGAUUCCAGCUCUUGGGACAGCUUUUGGCAACGGUGGCUGCGUAUGUGGGAUGCUAUGAAAGUGAGCGAGCGAGUGAAACGGCAGACUGUGUGAGGCUGCAGUGAGUCAGCCACUCCGAGGGAGUUGGAAGAAAUGUAUAGUCUAUAUAGAGGAACAUUGGACUGCCCCGAACUGGAGGCCAAGGAGUUCUGAUUUCUGCAAAUUCAAUUCAUCUGAUGUUCUUGGCAGUCCGUGUAAGGAAAUUGACAGCAGAGAGCUCUAGUGUGUGAGGAGUGAUGACUCUCAAGCUGCCUUCUGGGAAAGCAGGCCAAUAAAUUUGGUUACCCUGUAUUGCAACAACAGUCCAGGAGAGGGAGCAUAAACUCAGAGUAGUAUCCAGGGCAAUAUAAAUUGUCUCGUUGUGGUGGACUGAGCAUUAUAUGACUAAUGGCUGGAGUAUGGACACACAUUCACAGGAAACAUUUGUGUAUGAAUGUCUCUCAUAACUAAUGAUUUUACCUUUGUUUGCCAAGACAGGGAAGUUCUAUGGUUUAAUUAAAAUUCUUCUUCAUGAAAGUCUUUUUCCAGAAAGUUCAUCAUCUCACAGUCUUCAUGCCGUGAUUUAUUCUUCUGUUGCUUCUUCUAAAUACUAUGUCUGUUCUUUUCUAGCCAAACACUAGAAUUCUUUCCUUCCCUUUAUUACUUUUUGGAGUCUCAAAACUCAGUCUCAGAACUUCUCUUGUUAAUGGUACUAGUUCAAAAGAUUUCACAUUUCUCCUUCUAAUUUGUGUUACUGACAAGUGAUAUCAUUACAGUGUGCGAAGCUGUUGAAGAUGCUGUAGGAGCAUAACUGUGAGUUUUAAAUGUUUUGGGGAAAAGAAUCAGUAGGUAUUUUCAGGUGAUCACAACACUGAAAUGUCACUAACACUGUGUAAUUUGCUAAUAUUCCGGCCUUGGAAUGUGUGGUAGUAUUUCACUGUGUGAAGAAUUAUUGUUGCUUCAGCUGCAGCCAUAUCCAUCUCCCUGGGAAGACUUCCAGCUUCAAAGGGAAAUCUGGUUGUACAUGUUUGAACUGUGUUUUUAGCUGCAACAUAAUCUUUUCUGUCUUCUUGCUGCCCAUUAGAAAUGGUAAUGAAAAAAUGGCUCAAGGUUUAUUCAGCCUCAGUGUAACCUUUCUCUUUCUCAGGAAAUAAAAGUUCUUCAUUUCCAGCAGAGGAUAAUUCAGUUCCUGAUAUCCUUUUAGAUGUUUUGAAGUUAUGCUUUUUUGGAAUGUCUGCAUAGUAAUCUGUAGAGUAAAAGGACAUUACCUACCAAGGCGAUGUCAAAAAAUAAAUAUAUUAAUCCUCCAA